CCCCCCCCCCCCGAGUCUAUCAGAGAGGGUUUAAAAUGGGCAGAGACAUACUCGGAGGAGCUCUUCUCAGCCCCUGCUCUGCCGCCGGUUCCCUGCAGGGAUUUACCCUCCGCCGGUCGUGAGCUGAGUCUGAUCAGAGGAGUUACAAAUCCUCACUUUUAGGGGUCUUACUGUAAUUCACAUGCCCGUCGGCCACAGUGAAGCGUGGGGGCCCAGACUCUCGAGAGGGAUUUGAGACAACAUCUUUGUUGCCUCCUCAUUGUGCCGCGGGGGGAAAGUCGUCCAGCGCCCAUUGUCCGGCCAAACUCCGCUCAGACCUCAGCUCAAUCAAAGAAAAAGUUUUCCAGUAAUGAGGCCCACACCUACAAAGGCGAAAUAUUCCGCUCUAUGGAAAAUGCAGUUCAUGAGGAACGGCCUCCUUGAGUGGGAGGAGCCCUUUGUGCUGAUUCUACCUGCUGCCUUUAGAGGUCGGGCGGAGAUGGCCUCAGAUCAAACAUUUGUCACAUGCAACAUUCUCUCGGCUCAUACUAGAACUGUAUCAGUACCGGUUUAAUUAAUUGGAGUGUUUACACAGUCGCAUGUCCGUGAAUAAAGUCUAAAGAUGAAA